rnacentral:rRNA from 1 species
GACGAACGCUGGCGGCGUGCCUAAUACACGCAAGUCGAGCGGACGGAUGGGAGCUUGCUCCCAGACCGUCAGCGGCGGACGGGUGAGUAACACGUGGGCAACCUGCCUGUAAGACUGGGAUAACUCCGGGAAACCGGGGCUACUCCCGGAUAACUCUUUCCCUCACAUGAGGGAAAGCUGAAAGAUGGCAUCUCGCUAUCACUUACAGAUGGGCCCGCGGCGCAUUAGCUAGUUGGUGAGGUAACGGCUCACCAAGGCGACGAUGCGUAGCCGCCCUGAGAGGGUGAUCGGCCACACUGGGACUGAGACACGGCCCAGACUCCUACGGGAGGCAGCAGUAGGGAAUCUUCCGCAAUGGACGAAAGUCUGACGGAGCAGCGCCGCGUGAGUGAUGAAGGUUUUCGGAUCGUAAAACUCUGUUGUCAGGGAAGAACAAGUACCGGAGUAACUGCCGGUACCUUGACGGUACCUGAACAGAAAGCCACGGCUAACUACGUG